UGGAUUUUAAAUAUUUACAAGGUGUCAUUGGGGACCAAAAAAAAAGGUUCUACUAAACGAAUGGUUGACUUGAGCAAUGUAUAACUGCCUAAAAGAUGCAGCUACCUGAUGUUCUUAAAUAAAAAGACAAUGCACAAAGAUAGAAUUUAGACUGUUUGACGGUUGCACCAUAUUGAUUAAAUCAUGGCAAAAUGUGCAUUAAAUCAAAAUGAGUCUGAUAACAGAAGGCGAUAAAAAUACAUAUGAACUUAAUAUUGGUGGUGAAGAUAACGAUAUUAUGAUUUUAUUAAGACCGUUUUGAAAAUAACUUUA
rnacentral:lncRNA from 1 species